rnacentral:rRNA from 1 species
GACGUAGGGGGCCAGCGUUGUUCGGAAUUACUGGGUGUAAAGGGUUCGUAGGCGGUGCGGCAAGUUGGGAGUGAAAUCCCUCGGCUUAACUGAGGACGUGCGGAAGAAACUGCAAGGCUCGAGUCCGGGAGAGGGGGGUGGAAUUCCCAGUGUAGCGGUGAAAUGCGUAGAUAUUGGGAGGAACACCGGUGGCGAAGGCGGCCCCCUGGACCGGUACUGACGCUGAGGCGCGAAAGCGUGGGUAGCAAACGGG